CUUCAUCAACUCUUUACGUGGCAUGUUGCCAUUCGUCUCCAAUUUUCACUCCUUGCAUGAGACACCAGUUUUAAGAGAUUCUCUUCCCUUAUUCCAUCCGAUCAUUGCCUUAGGCCAUGUUUCUCGAGUAUUUUUUUUUUUUCAGCGGUCUCCUUUUUCUUUCGUCGUUAUCCAUGUGAUAUUUUUCUGCUCCCCGUUUUUCCUUCAGACAGCAUCCCAACCAAUCCUAUUGACUCUCACCAACCUUUUUGAGUAAUGCUUCAUACAGUCAUUGCGUGUACAAAUGCCGUACAAUCGUUUUGAAAAAAAGUAUGGCUGACGAUUAAAAAACUAAUUUUUUUCAUGUGGAUUUCAUAUUAAUUUACUUUUUUUAAAGAGACUAUAUGACGCUUACACAACCAUGACUGCAAAUAUCAUUUUUCCCUUUUUCUUUAUCUUCUCCACGGAUCAGCUGCGAUACCACAACCCAGUUUUCAUCCAACUCAAAACAGAGCACCUAUUAACCACCCAGCUGCUCGACAGAAGCCGCAAGACCACUGAUUCAAACUUCCAACCCAUUGCCUUACACCACCACCGUCGACUCCAUUGCAUGUCUCUCUCUCAGACUUCGUUGUCGUGGUCCCCAGCCGCGCCGUGGCAACCUCCACCCAGAUGGAUCAGCAGCACACUAGCACCCCGAAGCCAAGCCAACCACCAUCAUCAAACCCAACAACCCAGCCUUCCGGCACCCAAGGCCACGGCAACAACCAGGUAGCACAACCAUGCCUACGUUCAAACUCCCCUGUUUUAACCUCAUGAAAACAGAGACGGUGCAACACCUCCCAUCCACUGCUCCUGCACAACGGAAGCCGCCCUAGAACUGCCCAACACCAAAAUGCCAGCCCCCACCCACGGCCAACCAGCCUCCACGUUGCCACCAAGUUCUCUGCUUGACAAUGCCGAAAACAGAGUGAGCCUUGUACUCAUCAGCCCCCAUUCUUCCCCCGCACAACUGCCCUCCACCCUUAUGCACCGUCAUUAACAACAGACAACGACGGAGAGCAAGACUUCACUGCCCGACUGAAGCCCUCCACCGUGCACUGCUGCACCCCAACACACCCAGCUGCUCAACCGCACUGUGACCGAAGCCUCACAUUAAGACCGUACGAUUUUUCUAGCCACGUUCGGCGCGUCCACGGAAAACCCACUUCACGUUCAUCCUCCAUCGCACCAAGGACUGGCCGUACGUAAAAGGUCUAGGAUUCACCUGCACUUAACUGUUGAGUAAAAGAGAAAAGGCAAGAACACAAAGUGUUUGAGAAAAGAAGUAAACCAACACAGACUCAGGAAUCCCUUCGAAUACUCAUUCUUCUGUGUCCCUUGGGUAGUACAUUCUGUUAUUGCCUACAUUCUAGAGUAUUGCAGAAUAUUCUCUUUGUAGUGCCUUGAGUGUGCUGUGCAUGUCUGCUGUAGUGCGUUGCUCUGUUUCUGUCAAGUGAGUGGGAGAGUCGUGUACAGAGUGAGGAGCAGCUCCUUGUGGUGUUGCAGCUGAGUGAGGUGCCUUAAUAUUAACCAACAAGACUAGCCCGUACGCACGGUUCCACUCCCUCUCGGUGAGCAUAUGGCCGGCCCUCACUCUCCCUCUCACGGUGUUCAGUCGCUUCACCACGGAGCUAGUGCCACUGCCGAAGUCGCCGUAGCCAGCUUCCAGCCGCCACAUUUUUUCCUCUCCUUCCUCGGUGACCUCUGAUGCUUUGGGUAUGACUGCCGCCGCUCUAACAUUUUGGUUCUAAAAUUUUUUUGUUACCUUGAGUUGCUUCUAGGGUUACAUACUAGUGUGUAUAGAAGUACGGUUAUGCCCUUAGGCAAUUCAUGGCAAAACUAAUACUAUUGGCUUUGGAUGGGUUUAUUUUCAA